UGAGCAACCUGCCCUUGACAUUGGAAUAACAGUUGGAAACAGCUGCUAAUACCGGGUAUGACACGUCCUCGCAUGGGGGUGUGUGGAAAGCCUUGGCGGUCAAGGAUGGGCUCGCGGCCUAUCAGCUAGUUGGUGAGGUAAUGGCUCACCAAGGCUUCGACGGGUAGCCGGCCUGAGAGGGCGACCGGCCACACUGGGACUGAGAUACGGCCCAG
rnacentral:rRNA from 1 species